GGCUCCCCAGCUGUGCAGAGGGGUGGGGGCCCUGUCUCGCAGGGGUCAGGGUCGGGGCUGGGUUGUACUGGGAAGGGCCAGCUCCCCAAGCUUCACCACUUCCCCUGAGACUUGGCAAGCCUGGGAUGUGAGACAUUGAGUAGAGAGGAACUGAUGGCUGCUGUGCCCGGCAAGAAAGCAGGGACAGCGACUCUCCCAUGUCCUCUCUUCUGCAGGUUCAGGGAGGCCGCCUGGCCAGCAGGGAGGCUGGAGCAGGCAGGCACCACUUCUGGUGACCUCGGCAAGCUCCCGGACCCCUGAGCCUUGGUCUCCUGCUUGCAGAGCGAGGACAGGAAGUGCACCCAUUUUGAAGGAUAUCACGAGGACUAGGUGAAAAAACACUUCCACGGUGCCGGUGCUUGGUCAGCGCUCAAGAAACUUUUUUCAAAAAGUAGGUGUUUUUGCCUCUGUUUGAGGAGUAGACUGAGGCUUAGAGAGGGAAAGCACCUGGUUCAAGAGGCUUCAAAAGAAGCAAAAAGGAGGUAGCGGAAGAGGCCCUUCCAAGGAGGACAAUGGGAAGAUCAGCUCUUGUUGGUCACCAGCCACGUCUCAGCAGACCUGCCAGACGCAGAUUCCAGCAUCUGCAGAGCCCGUCCUGGGCAUGGUUGCUGAGCCAGGUACCUGAAGGGCCCUGUCCAGUGUCACUGGCACCGCUCUGUACAGAAGAAAACGUGGAGCCUUUGAACUCUCUCCUUUGAGAUCCUCCCCAGACCCUGCCAAGAUCAGGGUGUGCACCUGACCGAGGAACCAAACCCUGGGGCCAGGGUCUUCAAUUUGUUGGGAAUCCUCCUGCCUGUGCCUCUCCAGCCAGGGCUGGGAACAUACCAAUGACACCAACCCUGGGGCUGGAGGCCACCGUCUGGUUUCUCAGGCUCCCUGAGGUGGUCCUGUGGGCAGUUCUAGCCAGUCCCUUGGUGCUGAAAUGUGGGCAUCUAUGGACAUGUCUAGUCUCUGCCUUCUCUAUGUCUGCUGCCAGUCCUGCCUUGGCACUGCCACGAGCCUGAGUGACAGCAGCUGUGCCUGGCUGUUGGUCUUCCAGACCCUACUGUGACCCCACUGUGGCCAGUGUCAGUUCAAAAUGAAAACCUGGGUGUGAGCCUCCCCUGCCCAGUGCUGACUGGGACCUGGCCAAGCUUGUAGGGUAGCCCUGGGCCUUGCGCCAUCUGGCCCGCCUCCUUUGCGUCCUUCCCAGUCCCAGGUCCUUGAACCCACAGGCCUCUGGCAACAGUCACAGUGCUGAAAAUGCUUCCCCUGCCCCCAUCAUUGCCUGAUAAAUGCCUCUUCCCCUCAGCCCUCCCCGGCCUCCCCCAGCCUCCUGCCAUACUGAACUUCUCUAUCCCACACCAAGCAGCCUGUGAUACUCAAUUAUCUCAGUGAUUUUAAAAAUGAAAACCUGUCUUCUGCACUCAGUAGAGGACCCCUACAGGCAGGAACCGUCUCUUUUAUUCAUCCUGUCUCACUGGAACCCGCAUACAAUAGGAGCCCAGAAAACACACCUGUUCCGUGAGCGAGCGAGUGAGAUGAUCUCUGACCUUGGCCAGUGGGAGCCAGGGCCCUAAGGGCUCUGAGUGCAGCCACAGGCCCAGGGCUGGGCGUCCAUGGAGGAGGUCUGGCCAAAGGGCUGAGUGGGGCAGCCUGGUGAAAGGGCCCCGACCGCUUGAA
rnacentral:lncRNA from 1 species